rnacentral:rRNA from 1 species
CUACUACUCUACUACGGGAGGUAUAUAAAAUCCCCGCGCCAGUACUGUAGGACGCGGUCUCUCCUCCGCCCAUCUCUGCUCCGGUCAACCAAGUUCCUCCUCCGCUUCCCAAGCCGCCCUCGUCUCCGCCCCCCUCCCCCUCGCAGUGAUGGCUGAUGAGGAUGAGUACCGAUGCUUCGUUGGGAACCUGUCCUGGUCCACAACUGAUGAAAGCCUCAAAGAUGCAUUCUCAAAAUACGGCAAAGUUACCGAGGCAAAGGUGGUUAUGGACAAGUUUUCUGGACGUUCACGUGGAUUUGCCUUUGUGACCUUUGAUGAGAAGAAAGCCAUGGAAGAAGCUAUCGAGGACAUGAAUGGAUUGGACUUGGAAGGGAGGGCCAUCACUGUUGAUAAAGCUCAGCCUCAAGGGGUUGGUAGAGAUCGUAACGGUGACCGUGAUUUUGAUCGUGACCGUGGGUCUCGUGGUGGCCGUGACUAUGGCGGUGGUCGUGCGCCGCGUGGUGGUGGUGGUGGUGGGGACUGCUUCAAGUGCGGCAAACCUGGACACUUUGCUAGAGAGUGCCCGGAUGGUGACGGCGGGAGAGGUGACCGAUAUGGUGGCAGAGAUGAUAGGUAUGGUGGUGGUAGAUCUGACCGUGGUGGCGACCGUUCUGACCGUGGCGGCGACCGUUCUGACCGUGACGGUGAUCGAUCUGAGCGUGGCAGUGACCGAUAUUCUAGCCGUAGCCGAGAUGGUGGGAGUGGGGGUGACCGCUACAGUUGUGACCGAUCAGGUCCGUACUGAUAGCCAAGAUCUUGAGAAGUGUGUUUCAUCCAGGUAUGAAAACCCUAUCUACUAUCAUGAGGUGUGUUUCCUUGUAUUUGAAACUCUGUGAUCAUGUAUUUGAACUAUGAUGUUGUACCGUGAGUAAGCAGAUCCUUUAUUACAGACCAUAUUACUGACCUGCUUACCAUUUCUUCCUGCUUAAUGUGAGUCGCAUGGACUUAGCCAUAAUGCUUGGCUCUGGGCCCUGCAUGUUUGCUUGAUACGCUGCUCGGUGGUUCUUGCUUGGUUGAGAGGUGGCUUGCUGUGUGUUGAUGCUCCAUCAUGUUGGUUGUGCUCAUACGGGAUACGUGGGUUACGUGGGAGGCAUACCAUGUUGUUGUUCCUGUGGUACCGGGAAGGAAACGGUCAGCUAAACUUUGCUUGAAAAUUUCAUCGCAAGAAAAAGGGGGAGGUGACAAUCAUCGGUCCGUAAAAGGAAAAGCAAACCGGCCCCCUUUUGGGUUGCUUAUUUUGUUCUGGAUCGGUUUCGUUGGGUUCUUCCUUCCGUUGUUGUCUAAUAAUGACUGAGGUCAUGUUGGUUGAUUCCAAUCUGUGCCAGUAUACCAUAGCCAUUGGAGGUCCCCUACUUCUCUGCAGCCUGCCUAAAAAUGUUGGUCUGUGCCUUUGCCGCUGUUGCUCGGCUUUGCUACCUGGUCACUGGAGUUUGUCCCAGUUGGUCGGCCUUGCUACCUGGUCGCUGGAGUUUGCUAGCUGUUGCUUCCUUGUUUCGUUGAGCUGUGCCGUUGGUCGCUAGAGAUGCAUCAUUGGGCCGUGUUCGUCGCGAGAGAUGCGCAUCAGAGUAAUGCUGAGCUCUGCCUGGCUAUUCUUCUUUGGCAAUGCACCACCGGAGUAGCAGGUUCCGUUAGUAUGUAGUGUAUUAUAGUGUGGCAUUGCAAGUUUACAUGGCCAUCAGAUAGGUCAUCUAAAGAGUUUUUCCUUGUUUAAAUUAAGUUUACAUGGCAUUGCAAGUUUUACAUGUUUGGUGGUGUCUAAAGAAUGUUUUGUUCACUUUACUUGUUUUUCCUUGUUUAAAUUCAUGAGCUGUUCAUGUCAUGUGUAUGGAAUUGUUGUACUAAGAAAAAUGAUUGCUGGUUUCACUUGCUAAUACAAGUAAAGUUUG